rnacentral:misc_RNA from 1 species
UUGGACUACGGGGGUAUCUAAUCCCGUUUGCUCCCCUGGCUUUCGCGCCUCAGCGUCAAUGCCGGUCCAGGAUGCCGCCUUCGCCACCGGUGUUCCUCCAGAUAUCUACGCAUUUCACCGCUACACCUGGAAUUCCGCAUCCCUCUCCCGGAUUCAAGCCUGCCAGUAUCGGACGCAGUUCCCGGGUUGAGCCCGGGGAUUUCACGUUCGACUUAACAGGCCGCCUACGCGCCCUUUACGCCCAGUAAUUCCGAACAACGCUUGCCCCCUCUGUAUUACCGCGGCGGCUGACAC